GACGAACGCUGGCGGCGUGCUUAACACAUGCAAGUCGAACGGGUCUGCCCUGUUUUUUGCGGGGUGGGUCAGUGGCGAACGGGUGAGUAACACGUGAGUAACCUGCCCCUCACUUCUGGAUAACCGCUUGAAAGGGUGGCUAAUACGGGGUGUUCUGGCUGUGCCGCAUGGUGUGGCUGGGAAAGAUUCACUUUUGUGGUGUUUUGGUGGGGGAUGGGCUCGCGGCCUAUCAGCUUGUUGGUGGGGUGAUGGCCUGCCAAGGCUUUGACGGGUAGCCGGACUGAGAGGGUGGGCGGUCACACUGGGACUGAGAUACGGCCCAGACUCCUGCGGGAGGCAGCAGUGGGGGGUAUUGCACAAUGGGCGGAAGCCUGAUGCAGCGACGUCGCGUGAGGGAUGGAGGCCUUCGGGUUGUGAACCUCUUUCGCCGGUGAAGAAGGUCCUGCUCUUUGUGGUGGGGUUGACGGUAGCCGGGUUAUGAAGCGCCGGCUAACUACGUG
rnacentral:rRNA from 1 species